rnacentral:rRNA from 1 species
AACGAACGCUGGCGGCAUGCCUAACACAUGCAAGUCGAACGAGACCUUCGGGUCUCUUGGCGCACGGGUGCGUAACGCGUGGGAACCUGCCCUUAGGUUCGGAAUAACUCCCCGAAAGGGGUGCUAAUACCGGAUAAUGUCUUCGGACCAAAGAUUUAUCGCCUUUGGAUGGGCCCGCGUUGGAUUAGCUAGUUGGUAGGGUAAAAGCCUACCAAGGCGACGAUCCAUAGCUGGUCUGAGAGGCUGAUCAGCCACACUGGGACUGAGACACGGCGCGGACUCUUGCGCGAGGGAGGAGUGGGGAAUAUAGGAAAAUGGGGGAAAGCAUGAUCCAGCAAUGCCGCGUGAGUGAUGAAGGCGUUAGGGUUGUAAAGCUCUUUUACCCGGGAUGACAAUGACAGUACCGGGAGAAUAAGCUCCGGCUAACUCCGUG